rnacentral:rRNA from 1 species
UACCAGCACCCCGAGCGGUCGGGACGAUUAUUGGGCCUAAAGCAUCCGUAGGCGGUUUUACAAGUCCUCCGUUAAAUCCAGCUGCUUAACAGAUGGGCUGCGGAGGAUACUAUAAGACUAGGAGGCAGGAGAGGCAAGCGGUACUCAGUGGGUAGGGGUAAAAUCCGUUGAUCCAGUGAAGACCACCAGUGGCGAAGGCGGCUUGCCAGAAUGCGCUCGACGGUGAGGGAUGAAAGCUGGGGGAGCAAACAGG